UUUCCUUUAGCUUAACUUAAAGCGUUAGUUUGAAGCACUGAAGAUAACUUUAGUUAGGGAGGU
rnacentral:tRNA from 1 species